UACAGAGGUCUCAAGCGUUGUUCGGAUUCAUUGGGCGUAAAGGGUGCGUAGGUGGCGCCGUAAGUCGGGUGUGAAAUUUCGGAGCUUAACUCCUAAACUGCAUUCGAUACUGCGGUGCUUGAGGACUGGAGAGGAGACUGGAAUUCAUGGUGUAGCAGUGAAAUGCGUAGAGAUCAUGAGGAAGACCAGUGGCGAAGGCGGGUCUCUGGACAGUUCCUGACACUGAGGCACGAAGGCCAGGGGAGCAAACGGG
rnacentral:rRNA from 1 species